GGUCGCAUAGUUGCAUAAUCUUUUACAAUCUCUCAGCUUCUUUUUUUUCUUUUAAUGUUUGUUGUUUAUAUUGUUGCAGAGGGAAGAACUGAGGAGACCAAGGUGGAAUUCUCUGAGGAUGAAGAGAUGCUUAUUGCCAGAAUGUUUAAUUUAGUUGGACAAAGGUGGUCUUUGAUUGCUGGGAGAAUCCCUGGAAGGACAGCAGAGGAGAUCGAGAAGUACUGGAGUUCAACACAUAGCUCACAGGCAGGAUCGCGAAACGAAAGAUAAACAUCUUUAGACCUAGUAUUCUUAUCGUGUUCGUAUUGUUAUUUUCAUGUGUUAUAACCAUGUUUAAGGUGUUACAUCUUUAGACCGAGUGCUCUUAUC